rnacentral:rRNA from 1 species
AUGGCUUCCGGCGUCCACGCGGCGGCGGACGGCGUCGCCGCGCUCGGGAUCUCCCCCGCCGGCGGCGAGUGGGCCGGGCCCUGCCCCGCGCUGCGCCGGAACCUGCACCUCCUCUCCCACGACCAGGUUGAGCUUGCAAAGAUGCUGCUGAAUGAAGGACAGGGGCACUUGUUUGAACACUGGCCAGAGCCCGGUGUCGACGACGACAAGAAGAAAAGCUUCUUUGACCAGGUUUGCCGACUUAACUCAAGCUAUCCUGGUGGGCUGGCAGCAUACAUCCAGAAUGCCAAAAAGCUUUUAGCAGAGUCCAAGGCAGGACAAAAUCCAUAUGAUGGUUUCGCACCUUCUGUUCCCUCGGGGGAAGUAUUGACGUUUGGUGAUGACAAUUUUGUUUCACUGGAAGCAGCUGGGGUAAAAGAAGCACGCAAUGCUGCAUUUGUUCUUGUAGCUGGUGGUCUUGGUGAAAGACUUGGUUACAAAGGAAUUAAGGUAGCACUCCCCAGGGAAACAACCACUGGGAAAUGUUUUCUUCAACAUUACAUAGAGUCUAUUCUGGCUUUACAAGAGGCGAGCUGCAAAAUGGAGGGCGAAUGCCAUACGAAGAUCCCAUUUGCUAUUAUGACUUCCGAUGAUACGAAUGCACUGACCAUCAAGCUUUUGGAAUCAAACUCGUAUUUUGGAAUGGAACCAUCACAAGUGAAAAUUCUAAAGCAGGAAAAAGUGGCAUGUCUAGCUGACAACGAUGCAAGGCUUGCAUUAGAUCCAAAUGACAAGUACAAGAUUCAGACAAAGCCACAUGGGCAUGGAGAUGUUCAUUCUCUUCUUUAUUCAAGUGGAUUACUCGAGCAAUGGAAGAAUACAGGACGGAGAUGGGUUCUCUUUUUCCAGGACACAAAUGGAUUGCUCUUUAAUGCAAUACCAUCAGCAUUAGGUGUCAGUGCCACCAAGGGCUACAAUGUUAAUUCUCUUGCAGUUCCUCGAAAGGCAAAGGAAGCCAUUGGUGGAAUAACCAAACUUACUCAUGUUGAUGGUAGAACAAUGGUGAUCAAUGUGGAGUACAAUCAGCUUGAUCCACUCCUUCGUGCAACUGGGCAUCCUGAUGGAGACGCAAAUUGUGAAACAGGCUAUUCUCCAUACCCUGGAAAUAUAAACCAGCUGAUACUCGAGCUUGGACCAUACAUUGAGGAGCUCAAGAAAACACAUGGCGCCAUUUCUGAAUUUGUAAAUCCAAAGUAUACUGACUCUACCAAGACAGCAUUUAAAUCCUCCACUCGUCUUGAGUGCAUGAUGCAAGACUAUCCGAAAACACUACCUCCAACGGCAAAAGUUGGGUUUACGGUGAUGGAUGCUUGGCUUGCAUAUGCUCCUGUAAAGAACAAUCCUGAAGAUGCAGCUAAAGUUCCAAAAGGUAAUCCUUUUCAUAGUGCAACCUCAGGAGAGAUGGCAAUUUACAGGGCAAACAGCCUUAUUUUAAGAAAGGCCGGUGCACACAUAUCUGACCCUGUAGCCAGCACUUUCAAUGGUCAAGAGGUAGAGGUCUGGCCACGCGUGGCCUGGAGCCCGAGGUGGGGUCUUACGUUCAAGGACGUCAAGCAAAGGCUGCACGGCAACUCUUCAGUUUCUCAGAGAUCGGUUCUGGUCAUCAAUGGCCGGAACGUCGUCAUCGACGGUCUUUCCUUGGACGGCGCUCUUAUUGUCAACUCCGUCGACGAAGCAGAGGUGAAAGUCACCGGUCAUGUGGAAAACAAAGGCUGGACUAUCCAGCACGUCGACCACAGGGACACCUCGGAGAAAGAAGAGACGAGGAUCCGCGGGUUCAAGUUUGAGAAGGUUGAGCAGCUGGAGGUGAACUACACCGAGCCGGGAAAGCAUUGCCUGAGCCCAUGA